rnacentral:misc_RNA from 1 species
UACGAAGGGUGCAAGCGUUAAUCGGAAUUACUGGGCGUAGAGGGUGCGUAGGCGGUUUGUUAAGUCGGAUGUGAAAGCCCUGGGCUCAACCUGGGAAUGGCAUCCGAUACUGGCAGGCUGGAGUGCGGCAGAGGGUGGUGGAAUUCCCGGUGUAGCGGUGAAAUGCGUAGAGAUCGGGAGGAACAUCGGUGGCGAAGGCGGCCACCUGGGCCAGCACUGACGCUGAGGCACGAAAGCGUGGGGAGCAAACAGG